GACUUGGGCACCAUGAAAGCAGAGAGACCUGUGGAGCUCCCUCGUUAUGCCCCAACAAAAAGGAAAGAGGACAGGAAGGAUAUGUCUUGUUCUGACAUUUAUGCCAAUGAUCAUCUCUAUGGCAAUACUGACUGCGAUGACUCAAUAUACAACAAUGUGUAGCGUGUGGAAGAUCAGCUUCAGUCCAUGUUGUUAUAUGAGUCAAGAAAAAAGAAAAACCUUAAACAAUUUGAAAUAUUAAUUGUUUAUU